rnacentral:rRNA from 1 species
UACGAAGGGGGCUAGCGUUGUUCGGAAUUACUGGGCGUAAAGAGCUCGUAGGCGGUUUGUCGCGUCUGCCGUGAAAGUCCGGGGCUUAACCCCGGAUCUGCGGUGGGUACGGGCAGACUAGAGUGCAGUAGGGGAGACUGGAAUUCCUGGUGUAGCGGUGAAAUGCGCAGAUAUCAGGAGGAACACCGAUGGCGAAGGCAGGUCUCUGGGCUGUAACUGACGCUGAGGAGCGAAAGCAUGGGGAGCGAACAGG